rnacentral:lncRNA from 1 species
GCAAAAGUGUGUCGAGUCUUCAACUCCUAAAAACUCUUCUCACAAGAAUCUGAUCACUGAAACUAGUGGGGUCAUAUAAGAGAUAUUUGACCUAAGGUUUAACAACACAUAAACAUCAAGAUUAAAGACACGUAGAAUACCAGUAAUCAUAUCUAGUGAACUUUUCUGCUCCUGAUAGGAUGGUAAAAUAUAUAACCGAUUCUAGCACCGAUUGCCAUAGGUACUAGAUGAUGCACCCUAAGGAGGGACUGGGCAACCUAGAGGAGCUGGUGCGCUAGUAGCUUGAGUUUGGGGAUGAACAUCCCAG